UACGUAGGGUGCGAGCGUUGUCCGGAAUUAUUGGGCGUAAAGAGCUUGUAGGCGGUUUGUCGCGUCUGCUGUGAAAAUCCGGGGCUCAACCCCGGGCUUGCAGUGGAUACGGGCAGACUAGAGUUCGGUAGGGGAGACUGGAAUUCCUGGUGUAGCGGUGAAAUGCGCAGAUAUCAGGAGGAACACCGGUGGCGAAGGCGGCAUCCUGGACCGAGAUCGACGCUGAGGCGCGAAAGCUAGGGGAGCAAACGGG
rnacentral:rRNA from 1 species